rnacentral:misc_RNA from 1 species
UUUUUCGGUUUUCUACAGAGGAGGCAUUAAAAGGUUGAAUCACUGAGAAAGAUGCAUGGAGGAUUCUUGGAAGCUUCAUUCACCGAUUCUAGGGAAACGAUAUAUUUUUUUACAAAUAAUGAAGAAGGAAAAUAUUGGGUUUUGCAAAGGAAGAUACACAAAUAACUAUAAAUAAUCAAAUCAAUUGUUGCUUACUGUAAAAGCAAGCAAGAAAAAG